AGAGUUUGAUCCUGGCUCAGAAUCAACGCUGGCGGCGCGCUUAACACAUGCAAGUCGCACGGGAAAGUGGAGCAAUCCAUGAGUAUAGUGGCGUACGGGUGAGUAACACGUGGAUCAUCUACCUUCUAGUGGGGAAUACCCCUGGGAAACUGGGGACAAUACCGCAUAAGCUCGAAAGAGGAAAGCAGCAAUGCGCUGGAAGAGGAGUCCGCGGCUGAUUAGCUAGUUGGCGGGGUAACGGCCCACCAAGGCGAAGAUCGGUAGCCGGCCUGAGAGGGCACACGGCCACACUGGCACUGAAACACGGGCCAGACUCCUACGGGAGGCAGCAGUGGGGAAUCUUGCACAAUGGAGGAAACUCUGAUGCAGCGACGCCGCGUGAGCGAUGAAGCCCCUCGGGGUGUAGAGCUCUUUCGACGGGAUGAUUAUGACGGUACCCGGA
rnacentral:rRNA from 1 species